rnacentral:rRNA from 1 species
UCCACGCCCUAAACGAUGCACACUAGUUGUUGCUAUGCUAGACAUAGCAGUAAUGCAGUUAACACAGUAAGUGUGCCGCCUGGGGAGUACGGUCGCAAGAUUAAAACUCAAAGGAAUAGACGGGGACCCGCACAAGCGGUGGAGCAUGUGGUUUAAUUCGACGAUACGCGAAGAACCUUACCUGGCCUUGACAUAGGAAGAACUUACUAGAGAUAGUUUGGUGCUAGUUACUA